AAAUUUUAUGAAAGUAAAGAUCUGUUAGUACUCUACUGGACCAGGACAGGAGAUGUACUUGAGCCUAAAAUGAUACAUAUAGCUAAGGUAUUGUCAUCUACUUUUUGGUAUCUAUACAGUUAUUGUU
ensembl:snRNA U6atac minor spliceosomal RNA